rfam:Pan troglodytes isolate Yerkes chimp pedigree #C0471 (Clint) chromosome 6, whole genome shotgun sequence.
CUUAUCAACCAUACCACCCUAAAUGCAGCCGAUUUCUUCUGAUCUCAGAAGCUAAGCAGGGUUGGGCCUGGUUAGAACUUGGCUGAAAGACCACCUGGGAAUACCGGGUGCUGUAUUUC